UGGGGUAUCGCCAAGUGGUAAGGCACGGGACUUUGACUCCCGCAUUCGCUGGUUCGAGUCCAGCUACCCCAG
rnacentral:tRNA from 1 species